rnacentral:lncRNA from 1 species
UCGGGCUAUUAGAUAUAUCGCAUAUGUCACGUGGUUGUUAUCAGUGACUGGGUCAUUAAAGUUCAGGUGUAUCUGUAGUUACAGUGCAGUGCAUAGGUGUUUAUGAUUUGGAAAAAGAUUUGACGCGCAAUUUCAAAAUCAACCGUCUGUCUACUGUGAAAAAAGAUUAAGAAAUGACAAAGUUAUGAGGGUUUAAAGGAAAGUUAGUGAGCGAUUUUUAUUCAACACUACAUUGCUUUAAACAAAGAUUUUCGCCUCACCUGUCAAUUUCUGCUUAUGAGAAUUGGCAGGUAAUAAUCAUAGAAAAUAUACGAAUAUGCAAAGUACUUUAGUUACGGUGACCGGUAACGACCGGAAGGAAUAUUUGCAAUUGAAACAUAAAGAAAUUUAUCGGGAACAACGUAAAAGUGACUUUCUGUUAUGACUGUUGAUAUUAACAUUGACGGCAAUGAGACGGAUAUUCGUUUUAUUUCUAUUGGUAAUAAGUUUACUUUUAACAUAAAA